CUCUCUCUCUCUCUCUCUAGGGAUGGCGAAGUACUUUCUCUCUCCUUCCCGUCCCUCUCUCUGUAUUUAUAGCGACGCACACUUGCAGAGAUGGUGAUUUUUGUAAAGAGGAAAAGCGGACCGGAAUUCGCGAUGAUAAGUCCAUCGGCGCAGAAUCUCCAGCUGACAGCUGUCCCCCGGCCCCUCCACUCACUUCACCGCUCGGACACGAUCCGAUGCGGCCGUGUCCACGGUGAGAUCUAAGCCUUUCUGCCCUCUGACUCCGAUCCGGAGAUUAAGUUGGCAUGACGGGAUCGGAUCGUACGGUCUGGGAGGGGGGCUCACGUAAGAGUUACUGCACCAGAGGUCUGCUCGGACAGCGAUUCCUGUGCCCUCUCAGAUCCCCGAGGGAAAGGACAAUUCUCUUUAAGGACCGGCUCUGGAUUGGAUUCGACCCCAGAUUUCCGCAAAAUUACGGAGCCUGCCAUCGCGUCGCAUCACGGAGACGUGCCCCUGGACGUAAUAAAGCACCAACGUGGACCUAACGACACGAUAUUAUCAUUUUAUCGCGAUAAACGCUGAGCGUGUCGUGAUAAAUUUUUCUAUCAAAAUAUCGUCAUUUUGUUUUUAUAAGCUUUCCAUUUCUCGAGUCAAAGUGGGGGAAUCUUCUCCUCUCGUUCUUUUUUUACAUUUCAGAUAUUCGAGAAAUCGCGCAUAUCCGUCCAAAUUAAGAGGUCUGACUUUAAUUCCCGUCAAUGAAAUUACCAUUCCUUUAUUUCUCUUCUUC